rnacentral:lncRNA from 1 species
UUCUUGUUUUCAAAAAAAAAAAAAAAAAGGUGUAUUUAGCUGAUCUUGUUUUGGUUAUAAGUUCCAUUGGAAAACCUGUCAUGAAAGACCAAAUUAUUUUCAGAAGGGCAUUGAAAUUGAGGUAAAAGAAUAAAAGCAUACUCAAAUCUUAAAGGAAGCAGUUAGUUGGAUGUACAAGGCCUCCUAAAGUACUUCCAGAACUAUAAUUGAAACUGUGAAAUACUGAAAUGCUUCGAAGACUUUAAAAAGUAUGCUUAAAGUAGCUUUUGGGCAAGUUCUUCUCUAUAAGUUAGAGCCAAAUCAGCAUAUCCAACUGGUUAACAUUAUACACAUCCUCAUCUUGGAAUUAAGCUUCUGCUGGUGUCAUUGCUCCUUCUGACUUUGUGAAUCAUUCACUGAAAGAAUCUUUUCCAUACUUGGUUUUCAGCUAAGAAGUGUGCCCAGCUUUUUUGUCGAUUAUACUAGAUGUUUCACAAACUAAUAGAACUAAUGAACAAAAGUUUUGAUCAUGUGGGAACUGCAUUUGUAAUUUGGGCUGUUUUGUGUCAAAGGUUCUUAAUCACAUGUCAAGAACCUUGUUUCUAGUUAUUGUAUCGCCACUGUACUAAUUAUGCAGAUCUUUGGCUCAAUCUCAUGCUUUAGGUGAAAUGUUUACUCGCAUUCCUUGUAUGGAAUGAAAAUUAUUUUCUCAAACUGUAAUCAUGCAUUCCUCAUAUGAACUGCCAUAACUGUGCCCCAGCAUUGUCUGAUAGUUGUUGACUUGUUCUCGUCUUUCAGAUCAGUUGAGCAGCACCGUUUCGCCACCAAAAAACAACACCGUUUGAUUCUUAUUUGGACGAGAACAAGUCAUUGAUUCUGAAGAUUGUUGAGAGCCAGAAUUCAGGGAAAUUGAGUGAAUGUGCAUAGUUAUGGAGGUCAUGAAGAUAUUGGAGAUUGACCUUGAAAGUGGAUGAAUUUUGCCCAAGUUAUUUCAGUGGGAAAGGAAAGCAAAUCACUUCUACACACAAAAAGACAUUGAUCAGGUCCCGGCCGAGUGGGCAAAGUAUGUCAGCCAAUUUCAACAAAGCUAGUGUGUCGAGAAGAUUCUAAUUUUGGACAUGCAUCAUCUAUAACCCAUAUUAACUAGUUAUGCAGUUGGUCUAAGUAUCUAUUUUUGGCCUGCAAGUACAGUUUAUGAUCAGUAGUAUGAGAUAUCAGUGUUUUUUGGGUUACAUUUGUUGAUCAUGCCAACUGCUAUGGGUUAUUGAACUGAUGUUUAUUAAGUUUAGCUCCAUGAUGGAUGUAUGUAUAGCUGCAGGAACAGAUUGAUCAAAUAUUGGUAUUUUU